rnacentral:rRNA from 1 species
GAUGAACGCUGGCGGCGUGCCUAAUACAUGCAAGUCGAGCGAAUGGAUUAAGAGCUUGCUCUUAUGAAGUUAGCGGCGGACGGGUGAGUAACACGUGGGUAACCUGCCCAUAAGACUGGGAUAACUCCGGGAAACCGGGGCUAAUACCGGAUAACAUUUUGAACCGCAUGGUUCGAAAUUGAAAGGCGGCUUCGGCUGUCACUUAUGGAUGGACCCGCGUCGCAUUAGCUAGUUGGUGAGGUAACGGCUCACCAAGGCAACGAUGCGUAGCCGACCUGGGAGGGGGAGCGGCCACACUGGGACUGAGACACGGCCCAGACUCCUGCGGGAGGCAGCAGUAGGGAAUCUUCCGCAAUGGACGAAAGUCUGACGGAGCAACGCCGCGUGAGUGAUGAAGGCUUUCGGGUCGUAAAACUCUGUUGUUAGGGAAGAACAAGUGCUAGUUGAAUAAGCUGGCACCUUGACGGUACCUAACCAGAAAGCCACGGCUAACUACGUGCCAGCCGCCGCCGUAA